rnacentral:lncRNA from 1 species
UAGGGGUUCUGCUAAUUGAGUUAAGGAAGCAAACUGUAUCAUUAUCAAUUGCUUUCUAGAUGGUUCUGCAACACGUUUGGAACAAAAUAAAAAUAUCUUCAUUUUGAAAUUCCAUUGGACUCGACUGGAGUAAUGUAUUAUAGGAAUCAGCCUCUUUCAAUCAAAGAACUAUUUCAACGAUUCCCAUGUUUGUAGUUCGAAAGGAAAAGGAUCCCAGGAAAUUUAUUCGAACCUAAUUCUUACUAAAUUUUCUAUUCCAAUCAAUGGCCUCUUCCUAGGUGAUACUGAGGAGGGCCGGACCCGUUUUUUAUUUGGUUCUCUCUUUACUGUUCAAAGAAAAAGUGGUUUUGUUAAGUGUAUAAGCACUUUGUAUGAGAAAGAAAGGAUAUAAACAUAGUGGUUGUCUAACGAGAUACUAUGCAGAAUAAGAUCUUCAGGUGAGUCACAUAAUUUUCUAUUCCAAUCAAUGGCCUCUUCCUAGGUGAUACUGAGGAGGGCCGGACCCGUUUUUUAUUUGGUUCUCUCUUUACUGUUCAAAGAAAAAGUGGUUUUGUUAAGUGUAUAAGCACUUUGUAUGAGAAAGAAAGGAUAUAAACAUAGUGGUUGUCUAACGAGAUACUAUUUAGAAUAAGAUCGUCAGGUGAGUCACAUAUUGCGCAUUUACCUUUCGAAUUUUGGAAAUUGGAUUUAGACUUUAUCGACUUAUUUCAUAUCAUGGUUCAGGCCUUAAAAAUCAGUGAGGUUUACUCUUCCUUUUCGAUGCCCGUGGAACUACUGUCAAUGGUUUACUCAAUUACUUCUUGGGAAUGUUAAAAAAAAAGAUUACUACGACCUUUCGAAUUUUGGAAAUUGGAUUUAGACUUUAUCGACUUAUUUCAUAUCAUGGUUCAGGCCUUAAAAAUCAGUGAGGUUUACUCUUCCUUUUCGAUGCCCGUGGAACUACUGUCAAUGGUUUACUUCUUAGGAAUGUUAAAAAAAAAAAGAUUACUACGUGAUUUUUUGAAUAUGCCUAUAUCUAUCGCUUUUGCUUCAUUGAUUUGAUUCUCUCAAUAGAUACUGAGAUUCAUAUUGGAAAUCAAAAAUAUAGUAAUUCAAACUAUAAGACAUAGGAGUAAUUCAGAUUGAUCAGAACAAAUAGAUAUAGCAAAUAAAUGGAAUUGGAUGCUAUGUCAAUCCCAUAUAUGGAAUUGAUAUUCACAUAUAUCAAGAUAAUAUUGUAGAUUGAUAUAUAGAUCCAUAUCAAA